rnacentral:rRNA from 1 species
GUGAAAGUUUCCAAGGGCGCAUGGUGGAUGCCUUGGCAACAGGAGCCGAAGAAGGACGUGGGAAUCUGCGAUAAGCCUGGUGGAGUCGAUAACCGGACGUUGAGACCAGGAUUUCCGAAUGGGGAAACCCCGCACGACGUGUCGUGUGACCCCCGGUUGAACACAUAGACCGGGUGGAGGGAACGUGGGGAAGUGAAACAUCUCAGUACCCACAGGAAGAGAAAACAAAAGUGAUUCCGUUAGUAGUGGCGAGCGAACGCGGAUGGGGCUAAACCGUAUGUGUGUGAUACCCGGCAGGGGUUGCAUGUGCGGUGUUGUGGGCCCCUCCUUGUCAUGUCUGCCGGCAUGGCGCAGUGAGGUGCGGGCAUAUAGACGAACCAGUGUGGAUGCUGGACCGUAGAGGGUGAGAGUCCCGUAGUCGAAAUGUGUUCCGCCGCUGUUGGAGGGUUGCCCGAGUAGCACGGGGCCCGAGGAAUCCCGUGUGAAUCUGCCAGGACCACCUGGUAAGCCUGAAUACUACCUGUUGACCGAUAGCGGAUCAGUACCGUGAGGGAAUGGUGAAAAGUACCCCGGGAGGGGAGUGAAAUAGUACCUGAAACCAUGUGCCUACAAACCGUUGGAGCCUCCUUGUGGGGUGACAGCGUGCCUUUUGAAGAAUGAGCCUGCGAGUUAGUGAUACGUGGCGAGGUUAACCCGUGUGGGGAAGCCGUAGCGAAAGCGAGUCUGAAUAGGGCGAUUGAGUCGCGUGUCCUAGACCCGAAGCGGAGUGAUCUACCCAUGGCCAGGUUGAAGCGCGUGUAAGAGCGCGUGGAGGACCGAACCCACUUCAGUUGAAAAUGGAGGGGAUGAGCUGUGGGUAGGGGUGAAAGGCCAAUCAAACUCCGUGAUAGCUGGUUCUCCCCGAAAUGCAUUUAGGUGCAGCGUCACGUGUUUCUUCCCGGAGGUAGAGCUACUGGAUGGACGAUGGGCCCUACAAGGUUACUGACUUCAGCCAAACUCCGAAUGCCGGGAAGUGAGAGCGUGGCAGUGAGACUGUGGGGGAUAAGCUUCAUAGUCGAGAGGGAAACAGCCCAGACCACCGGUUAAGGCCCCUAAGCGUGUGCUAAGUGGGAAAGGAUGUGGAGUUGCUGAGACAACCAGGAGGUUGGCUUAGAAGCAGCCACCCUUGAAAGAGUGCGUAAUAGCUCACUGGUCAAGUGAUUCCGCGCCGACAAUGUAGCGGGGCUCAAGUACACCGCCGAAACCGUGGCAUUCAGUUUUGCUGGAUGGGUAGGGGAGCGUCGUUCACGAGGUGAAGCCAGCGGGUAACUUCUGGUGGAUUGUGGACGAGUGAGAAUGCAGGCAUGAGUAGCGAAAGACGGGUGAGAAACCCGUCCGCCGGAUGACUAAGGGUUCCAGGGUCAAGCUAAUCUGCCCUGGGUAAGUCGGGACCUAAGGCGAGGCCGACAGGCGUAGUCGAUGGACAACGGGUUGAUAUUCCCGUACCAGUGAAGAACCGUCCAUGUUGAGCCGGUGAUACUAACCGCCCGAACCAUCCCGAACCUCGUCUUUGACGGGGUCGGUGAUGGGGAGCGCGGGACCUGAACCGGGGAGGCAAGCGCAUUAACGGGUGUGACGCAGGAAGGUAGCCGGGCCGGGCAAUGGAAAUGACCUGGUCUAAGGGUGUAGGGCUGCUGGUAGGUAAAUCCGCCGGCUGUAUGCCUGAGACCUGAUGGGCGCCCACAUGGUGGGUGAUCCGGUGAUCCUAUGCUGCCUAGAAAAGCAUCGGCGCGAGGUUCAAACUGCCCGUACCCUAAACCGACACAGGUGGUCAGGUAGAGAAUACUAAGGCGAUCGAGAGAAUCAUGGUUAAGGAACUCGGCAAAAUGCCCCCGUAACUUCGGGAGAAGGGGGGCCCCAACCUUGAGCACCACGUGCUGGUGUGAGGGGAUCGGGGCCGCAGAGACCAGGGGGAAGCGACUGUUUAUCAAAAACACAGGUCCAUGCGAAGUCGUAAGACGAUGUAUAUGGACUGACUCCUGCCCGGUGCUGGAAGGUUAAGGGGACC